rnacentral:rRNA from 1 species
UACAGAGGUCUCAAGCGUUGUUCGGAUUCAUUGGGCGUAAAGAGCGCGUAGGCGGUCCGAUAAGUCGGCUGUGAAAGUCAGGGGCUCAACCCUUGAAAGCCGGCCGAUACUGUCGGACUAGAGUCCGGAAGAGGCAAGUGGAAUUCCCGGUGUAGCGGUGAAAUGCGCAGAUAUCAGGAGGAACACCAAUGGCGAAGGCAGCACUCUGGGACGUGACUGACGCUGAGACGCGAAAGCGUGGGGAGCAAACAGG